rnacentral:lncRNA from 1 species
AUCGCUGAAGGCGUUCAAGGCCAUAUUGGAUGGGGCCCUGGGCAGAUGAGCUGGUGGGGGGCAGUCCUGCCAUGGCAGGAAGGCUGGAACUGUGUGAUCGUUAAUGUCCUUUCCAACUCAAACCAUUCUAUGAUUCUGUUCUUGUCAGACUUACCUGGUUUCAUCAAUAUAAACCGCCUCCAGCACAGAUGCUGCAUAUUCAAUGUUCUUUUUUAAAUCCACCACAUUGAUGUCACCUUUCUCCAGUUGCUUCACCAAGCAUCUUAAUCGAAAGAUUGGUCUUUGGAGAUGCUUUUUCUUGAUUGUAACACAAUCAUCCAUUUAAAGAGGGAAAAAAGACUUCUUCCAGCAAAUAACUCCAAAAAGACCAGGGAGUAAUCAAGAAACUUGUUCUUUGCUACUGUGCUGCAGUGAGC